GUGGGGAAUCUUCCGCAAUGGACGAAAGUCUGACGGAGCAACGCCGCGUGAGUGAAGAAGGUUUUCGGAUCGUAAAGCUCUUUCGUUAGGGACGAACGUGCUCUUUGUGAAUAAUGAGGAGUAAUGACGGUACCUAAAUAAGAAGCCACGGCUAACUACGUGCCAGCAGCCGCGGUAAUACGUAGGUGGCAAGCGUUGUCCGGAAUUAUUGGGCGUAAAGCGCGCGCAGGCGGGAUAUCAAGUCUGUCUUAAAAGUGCGAGGCUCAACCUCGUGAGGGGACAGAAACUGGUAGUCUUGAGUGGCGGAGAGGAAAGUGGAAUUCCAAGUGUAGCGGUGAAAUGCGUAGAGAUUUGGAAGAACACCAGUGGCGAAGGCGACUUUCUGGACGAUGUCUGACGCUGAGGCGCGAAAGCUAGGGGAGCGAACGGGAUUAGAAACCCCUGUAGUC
rnacentral:rRNA from 1 species